rnacentral:rRNA from 1 species
CCAGACUCCUACGGGAGGCAGCAGUGGGGAAUAUUGCACAAUGGGGGGAACCCUGAUGCAGCGACGCCGCGUGGGUGAAGGAGCACCUCGGUGCGUAAAGCCCUAUCGGCAGGGAAGAAACAGACGGUACCUGACUAAGAAGCCCCGGCUAACUACGUGCCAGCAGCCGCGGUAAUACGUAUGGUGCAAGCGUUAUCCGGAUUUACUGGGGGUAAAGGGAGCGCAGGCGGCGCGCCAAGUCUGAUGUGAAACCCCGGGGCUCAACCCCGGGCAUGCAUUGGAAACUGGCGGGCUGGAGUGCAGGAGAGGUAAGCGGAAUUCCUAGUGUAGCGGUGAAAUGCGUAGAUAUUAGGAGGAACACCAGUGGCGAAGGCGGCUUACUGGACGGCAACUGACGCUGAGGCUCGAAAGCGUGGGGAGCAAACAGGAUUAGAUACCCGGGUAC